CUUCCUCAGUCCUCCCAUCCUGACUUGUCGCGCUGCCGCGAACGCCCGCCUACUGGCCCUCACGCUGGAGGGGGCGGAGAAAGCGCUCAUGCGCAAGCGCAGUUUACUGAGCAGGUCUGUGUAGAAGUUGAGUGAGUCCUAGAUUGGAGAACAGCAAAGAAAUGUUCAAGCUGGAAGUCAGCUGGAAGAUGCAGCAAAUAUAUGAGGAGUCAUCCAUUCCUAGGGGAGAGUCACGAAAUCGCUCCAGGUCACUGUGUCAGAAGAGCAAAGGAGCAUUAGAUGUGAAAACGCUCCACGGAGCUGCAGAGCCCUAUAAAGGUGAGAAGAUGGAGGAUCAAAGAUGACAAGUAACUUGUCAAAGGUAACAUAACAAGGAAGUGGCAGAGCCGGGAUUCCACAAAGGGGUGUGUGACCCCACAGCCUGCACUCUCCAAUUCACUAGAAUGCCUCCUCUCAAGAGCUCUGGGAGAAGUGUCAUCGGAGAUGAAGAGAUUACAGGUGAGAAAACCGAG